GACGAACGCUGGCGGCGUGCUUAACACAUGCAAGUCGAACGGGAGUAUUGAAGAAGCUUGCUUUAGAGAUACUUUAGUGGCGGACGGGUGAGUAACGCGUGAGGAGCUGUCCGAUGCAGGGGGACAACAGUUGGAAACGACUGCUAAUACCCCAUAAGCCGAGAGGUAAAAGGAUUUAUCCGGCAAUGGAGGUACUCGCGUCCUAUCAGCUAGUAGGUGAGGUAACGGCUCACCUAGGCGAAGACGGGUAGCCGGCCUGAGAGGGCGAACGGCCACACUGGAACUGAGAUACGGUCCAGACUCCUACGGGAGGCAGCAGUGGGGAAUAUUGGGCAAUGGGGGGAACCCUGACCCAGCGACGCCGCGUGGGUGAAGAAAUCCUUCGGGAUGUAAAGCCCUGUUGUAUGGGAAGAGCGGAAGACGGUACCAUACGAGGAAGCCCCGGCAAACUACGUGCCAGCAGCCGCAGUAAGCUAGUCUACG
rnacentral:rRNA from 1 species